GUGGGCACCUCAGCUGAACUUCACACACCUGACUUCUCUGACUAACAGGACCUGAAGACCAUCUGUGGUGAAGAGGAACAGCCAAGAGAUAAAGUACUCGUGCAGUCGUCUGAACCUCUGAGUGGUGAGCAGUUUUUACAGCGUUCAUAAAGAUGGCAGA